rnacentral:rRNA from 1 species
AUACGUAGGUGGCAAGCGUUGUCCGGAAUUAUUGGGCGUAAAGCGCGCGCAGACGGUUAUUUAAGUCUGAAGUGAAAGCCCUCAGCUCAACUGAGGAAUUGCUUUGGAAACUGGAUGACUUGAGUGCAGUAGAGGAAAGUGGAACUCCAUGUGUAGCGGUGAAAUGCGUAGAUAUAUGGAAGAACACCAGUGGCGAAGGCGGCUUUCUGGACUGUAACUGACGUUGAGGCUCGAAAGUGUGGGUAGCAAACAGGAUUAGAUACCCUGGUAGUCCACACCGUAAACGAUGAGUGCUAGGUGUUUGAGGGUUUCCGCCCUUAAGUGCCGCAGCUAACGCAUUAAGCACUCCGCCUGGGGAGUACGACCGCAAGGUUGAAACUCAAAUGAAUUGACGGGG